UAUAAAGCCCUAGAUGGAUUAAUGGAGGUCGUUCAGACUUCACCAGAAAUAGACCGCAUCCUCUGGGCAAUUGUGUCCUGGCCAGUGAAUAGCACAGGCUGCUGGAGCUGAGUUGGACCCCCUUCUGAUCCUGGAGGGAGCCCCACUCCACCUUCCUAUGAAGUCAGUUUCCUUCCUCUCAGGGUAGCUGCUGGCUCCGAUAACCUGCGUGUGCCUCCCUGGAACUCGCUGUAAGCUGGAUAUCAGUUUCACAUGUUUGGUCUGCGGGAUGUAGGAAGGAAGUGAACCUCCUGGAUAUCAGCCUGUCUAGUUUACCCAGAGGCCACCAAGCAAAGCCGGAGGAGCAGUGGGAGGCAUGCCAGGAAGUUGACAUUGAAGGGACUUUCCCAGGCUCCAGAGGCAACAAUCAGGCACAGGAAUUCUGGUGUUCUGAUUUCAGAAAGCCACAAAGACCAAGGAUUCUCCUGGAAGGUGUUGAUUCGCACUGCUAUAAAUUGCUGCAGGGACCGACAAAUGUUGAAAUGGAAGGAUGACCAGAGGGGAGAGGAGGAGAGAAUUGCAAAAGAAAGGAUUGACUGCGACA
rnacentral:lncRNA from 1 species